GACGAACGCUGGCGGCGUGCCUAAUACAUGCAAGUAGGACGCAGUUGCGAACGGGUGAGUAACGCGUAGGUAACUGCCUAUUAGAGGGGGAUAACUAUUGGAAACGAUAGCUAAUACCGCAUACUAGUAGAUGGACCUGCGUUGUAUCAGCUAGUAGGUAGGGUAAUGGCCUACCGAGGCAACGAUACAUAGCCGACCUGAGAGGGUGAUCGGCCAAACUGGGACAGAGACACGGCCCAGACUCCUAAGGGAGGCAGCAGUAGGGAAGCUUCGGUAAUGGGGGGAACCCUGACCGAGCAACGCCGCGUGAGUGAAGAAGGUUUUCGGAUAGUAAAGCUCGGUUGUUAAGGAAGCGGUACUUAACCAGAAAGGGACGGCUAACUACGUGCCAGCCGCCGCGGUAAUUC
rnacentral:rRNA from 1 species